UACGGAGGGUGCAAACGUUAAUCGGAAUUACUGGGCGUAAAGCGCGCGUAGGCGGUUUGAUAAGUGGGAUGUGAAAGCCCCGGGCUUAACCUGGGAACUGCAUUCCAAACUGUCAAGCUAGAGUUUGGUAGAGGGAGGUGGAAUUUCCUGUGUAGCGGUGAAAUGCGUAGAUAUAGGAAGGAACACCAGUGGCGAAGGCGGCCUCCUGGACCAAAACUGACGCUGAGGUGCGAAAGCGUGGGGAGCAAACAGG
rnacentral:rRNA from 1 species